ACAUGGCACCUUUAAAACAAAAUGAAAAAGUAACGUUAAAGGUCCAAAUAGAGGAAAAUGCUUUAAUAACAAAUUUGCACAUGGUGGUUUAUUACACAACGCCAAAAGGAAAAGAAAAAAUGGGUUCCGGAGAACAAAGUUUUUGAUGGGUGGUUAAAAGAGGGUCAGGGGUUUGCUUUCAAAAGGAAGGAGAAAAUAAAACACGAAUACAACAAACUUCUUCGAAAAGAGAAGAAGAAAAUGCAAGCAUCAAUAGGCCUGUCACGAUAACAAAUUUUGCUGGACGAUAAAUUGUCCAAGAAAUUAUUGCGAUAAACGAUAAUAUUGUCGUUCUAAGACCAGUUUAAACUAAUAUAAUGAUAAUGGCAUAUUAAUGCAGGUACACCUUUUCAAAGAUCAAUAAACUUUUAUUUCUAAAGAAUAUUUAACACUGAAAACGGAAAACAUUUUAAAUAUCCACAA